CCUCCUUACCUUAUACGAAAGCACCGUUCGAGAGUGUUCACACAGAUUGCUUGAAGAAGUAAGACCUAUGGGGCUAUAGCUCAGCUGGGAGAGCGCCUGCCUUGCACGCAGGAGGUCAGCAGUUCGAUCCUGCUUAGCUCCACCAAUGAUUACUUCUUUACUGUUCUUUAAUAAAUUGGAAAAAGCUGAAAAAGAGUUCUUCGAAAGUAAAUUUUGAAGUGACAAUUGCUGUGCAACUUAUACUCAUGUGGGUUGUAUGGUUAAGUGAAUAAGCGUAUACGGUGGAUGC
rnacentral:tRNA from 1 species